rnacentral:rRNA from 1 species
CGUAGGAGGCGAGCGUUAUCCGGAGUUACUGGGCGUAAAGCGUAUGUAGGUGGUGUGGCACGUCAAAUGUGAAAGCUGCUGGCUAAACCAGCAGAGGGCGUGUGAUACGGCCAGACUAGAGGGUGAUAGAGGUGCGUAGAAUUCCGGGUGUAGUGGUGAAAUGCGUAGAGAUCCGGAGGAAUACCAGUGGCGCAGGCGGCGCUCUGGGUCACACCUGACACUGAGAUACGAAGGCAUGGGGAGCGAACGGGAUUAGAAACCCCGGUAGUCCAUGCAGUAAACGAUGCACACUGGACGUCUGGAAAGCGAAAGCUUUCUGGGUAUCGAAGCUAACGCGAUAAGUGUGCCGCCUGGGAAGUACGGUCGCAAGACUA